UAUUCCCGAAAAGGGGGAAAGGAUUUGGGGGGGACAAUCGCGGAGCCUCUCGCUGGCUUUAGGGAGAGAGGGCUGGGGUAGAGGAGAGCCCCAGGGAGCAGGCAGAGGUGGGUUGGCUAGGGCCUUGUGUGACUUGGGCUGAGAAACUUCACUUAUUCCCUGGCGCUGGCAGUUGUCAAACUGGGUCUUGUAGAUGCUAAGUCUCCAUAGAGGUAUCGUACAGUUCGUCCAUCAACUGAUUACUGCUCAGUCACCUCAGAUGAUACCACUGGGAGCCAGAGAACUGCCUAGCUGUGCCCUGCCUGAAUGUCUGACUCAUCACUCAUGGGGGAUGACCUUUUUCCUGAAGAAACUGCUGCAGAAUGAAAGCUCCAGGCGCUUGGGUGCAGCAAGUAGGCUAUGCAUUUCCCACCAGCAGGAAUCUAGCUCCUGGCCAAGGUGAGCCACGCAGAGCAGCAGCCACGGGUAUCAUCCUCCCAGGAGGCAGAUCCCAAUUCGCGGAGAAGACCCGGCCAGCGGGAGGAUGCCAGCCUCAUCCUCAAGGCUGGGAUUGGGACUCUUUCCAGAAGGAACGACCUCUGUGCUUGAGUUGGUUGGGGGGCGCAAUGGAUUCUUUAACACUGGGGAAAUUCAUACAGAUGAAAGUGAGAGACACAUGACAGUGAACUGUA
rnacentral:lncRNA from 1 species